rnacentral:rRNA from 2 species
CCUGAUGCAGCCAUGCCGCGUGUAUGAAGAAGGCCUUCGGGUUGUAAAGUACUUUCAGUUGUGAGGAAGGCAGUUAAGUUAAUAGCUUGGCUGUUUGACGUUAGCAACAGAAGAAGCACCGGCUAACUCCGUGCCAGCAGCCGCGGUAAUACGGAGGGUGCGAGCGUUAAUCGGAAUUACUGGGCGUAAAGCGCAUGCAGGCGGUCUGUUAAGCAAGAUGUGAAAGCCCGGGGCUCAACCUCGGAACAGCAUUUUGAACUGGCAGACUAGAGUCUUGUAGAGGGGGGUAGAAUUUCAGGUGUAGCGGUGAAAUGCGUAGAGAUCUGAAGGAAUACCGGUGGCGAAGGCGGCCCCCUGGACAAAGACUGACGCUCAGAUGCGAAAGCGUGGGGAGCAAACAGGAUUAGAUACCCUGGUAGUCCACGCCGUAAACGAUGUCUACUUGAAGGUUGUGGCCUUGAGCCGUGGCUUUCGGAGCUAACGCGUUAAGUAGACCGCCUGGGGA